GGCGGAAGUACUCUACGGUCGGGAUGGGCGGAGCCGCAGAGGAAGGUUCGGAUGGGGUGUCUCACCAGAAAAGGUGAAGUAAGACCCAUCAACUGCAGAUGUGUCCUGAGGACUGGCAUGACCUGGCAACAGCUGAUCUACAUGUCGCCGCCAGAUGCAGGAGUUGCCGAGCGAGAUCGCCCUGAGGAGGGUCACUGAAGGAGAUAGAGAGC